rnacentral:rRNA from 1 species
AGAGUUUGAUCCUGGCUCAGGAUGAACGCUAGCUACAGGCUUAACACAUGCAAGUCGAGGGGAAACGGCAUUUAGUGCUUGCACUGAAUGGACGUCGACCGGCGCACGGGUGAGUAACGCGUAUCCAACCUUCCCAUUACUGUGGGAUAACCUGCCGAAAGGCAGACUAAUACCGCAUAGUCUUCGAUGACGGCAUCAGAUUUGAAGUAAAGAUUUAUCGGUAAUGGAUGGGGAUGCGUCUGAUUAGCUUGUUGGCGGGGUAACGGCCCACCAAGGCAACGAUCAGUAGGGGUUCUGAGAGGAAGGUCCCCCACAUUGGAACUGAGACACGGUCCAAACUCCUACGGGAGGCAGCAGUGAGGAAUAUUGGUCAAUGGGCGAGAGCCUGAACCAGCCAAGUAGCGUGCAGGAUGACGGCCCUAUGGGUUGUAAACUGCUUUUGUAUGGGGAUAAAGUCAAUCACGUGUGAUUGUUUGCAGGUACCAUACGAAUAAGGACCGGCUAAUUCCGUGCCAGCAGCCGCGGUAAUACGGAAGGUCCGGGCGUUAUCCGGAUUUAUUGGGUUUAAAGGGAGCGUAGGCCGGAGAUUAAGUGUGUUGUGAAAUGUAGACGCUCAACGUCUGACUUGCAGCGCAUACUGGUUUCCUUGAGUACGCACAACGUUGGCGGAAUUCGUCGUGUAGCGGUGAAAUGCUUAGAUAUGACGAAGAACUCCGAUUGCGAAGGCAGCUGACGGGAGCGCAACUGACGCUUAAGCUCGAAGGUGCGGGUAUCGAACAGGAUUAGAUACCCUGGUAGUCCGCACAG